rnacentral:rRNA from 1 species
GCCCUUACGACCAGGGCUACACACGUGCUACAAUGGCGCAUACAAAGAGAAGCGACCUCGCGAGAGCAAGCGGACCUCAUAAAGUGCGUCGUAGUCCGGAUUGGAGUCUGCAACUCGACUCCAUGAAGUCGGAAUCGCUAGUAAUCGUGGAUCAGAAUGCCACGGUGAAUACGUUCCCGGGCCUUGUACACACCGCCCGUCACACCAUGGGAGUGGGUUGCAAAAGAAGUAGGUAGCUUAACCUUCGGGAGGGCGCUUACCACUUUGUGAUUCAUGACUGGGGUGAAGUCGUAACAAGGUAACCGUAGGGGAACCUGCGGUUGGAUCACCUCCUUA